GAUGAACGCUGGCGGCGUGCCUAAUACAUGCAAGUCGAGCGAACAGACGAGGAGCUUGCUCCUCUGACGUUAGCGGCGGACGGGUGAGUACCACGUGGAUAACCUAACUAUCCGACUGGGAUAAUUUCGGGAAACCGGGGCUUCUACCGGAUAAUAUAUUGAACUGCAUGGUUCAAUCGUGAAAGUCGGUUUUUCUGUCACUUAUAGCUGGCUCCGCGCCGCAUGAGUUAGUUGGUAAGGUAACGGCUUACCAACGCGACGAUGCGUAGCCGACCUGAGAGGGUGAUCGGACAGACUGGAACUGAGACACGUUCCAGACUCCGACAGUGAGCAGCGGUAGAGAAUCUUCCGCAAGGGACGAGUGCCGGACAGUGCAACGUGGGGGGAGUGAUGAUCGUGUUAGGAUCGUAAAGCUCUGAAAGUAGGAGAGAACAAAUGUGUAAGUAACCAUGCACAUCUUGACGGUACCUAAUCAAAAAGCCACGGCUAACUACGUG
rnacentral:rRNA from 1 species